UGUGGUAUGGAGAAAGGUUCAAGUUUGGGGUUGUUGGAAAAUUGGAAAAAAUUGUGAAAAUAAAAAGAAAAGGCAUUGAGCUAAAUAUUGAGGAAAAGAAAAGAAAAGAAAAGAAAAAAAAAGAAGGAAAAGAAGGAAAAGCUCAAUGAAUGGGAAGUUGGGAUUAAGUGAAAAUAGGUUUCUCAAAUAAAAGAGAAAGAGAUGUUGAUGUUUAAUGUACUUACAUGCCCCACCCUUCUCUACUGGAGAAUGAAUGACCAUUAGAAUGUCAAGAUAACCCCCAAAAUUACUCAACACCAGAAUCUUGAUGCUUAGCCCUGACCUGCUCACCCUUCGAGUUACUCUCUAUCACCCAAUGUAAGUGCAAACAGAGAGCUUCCCCAGACCAACGAGAAAUCUCGCCCAACCUCUGAAACCCACUACCAAACCUUUAUAUUACGCGACCAUCUAGUCUGCAAAAUUCUGCAGAACAUAAAUUCUACAGAAUUUAUACCCCGUAACCUCACAUGCAUCUACAACUCUCUUUUGCCUUUUCAAACCUUAAUUGAGCAAAUACAAAUUUUUAUAACUCAACUUAAAUGUUAUUUGUCUUAUUUUCCCACAAAGUUCUAACUCAAAGAACUAAACAUCAUUAUAAAUGCUUAAAAGUUCAUUCUUAUUCAUUUAUGAUAAAAAUUUGGUGAACUUAACCUUUAAACAAGUCACAAAUUGUUCAUAAACAAACUUUAAACCUCAAGAUUCUCCAUUCCACC
rnacentral:lncRNA from 1 species